CACAUGGGAGCAGGUAGGAUCACCCCUCUCAGCAGCAGCACAGGAUGUUUGUAGAACAUCCUACAGCUGAGAAUCCAUUGAAUAAUGACUUUUCCUUAUACAUUUCUUUACGUUCCAGGGAAAAGGCUGUGUAUGAAAUAAGAUGAAUUCCAAGAAAGGAAUUCUGCAGUCUAAAUUCAGAGCUCUGGGUCAGUUGCCAUUACUCUUUCUGCUCCUGCUCCCUUUCCCCCUCCCGCACCAGCCGGGGUGACCAGGGGGACCCGGCUCUCCCCUCCGCAGGUCGCCGCUUUCCGAGGGUUUGGUUGCCCCUUUCGGAGCGUUUGUUGCCACCGACCGCCAUCUGGUGGCCACGCUGGGCUCCGAGCUCGGCGAAACUCUGCUUUCCUCUGCCGGUGUCUUCUUCUUGCCACCACCACAGGAACUGGCUGAUUCCCCAGCCCUUCCCAAAGAAGGGAGGGGGCGCGGUGUGUGAACGCUGAGGCAGAAAGGGAGCGAUUUGGCAGCACCAUCGUGGCAAGGUCCCGGUGGGGACACGGCACGUAACCAGAGCCUGGCACAGCACACGGAAAGAUCCCCACGGGCACUGAGUCUGAUCCACACUGUUCCAUGCUGGUCAGAGCUAAAAAACUUGUGUGGGCUGUUAUUUCAAAGUGUCUCACCAAGAACCAAUUUUAAACGGGUGUCCAGACGCUGACUGCUAUUCAUAGACUUUGCUUUACCACAGAAACCACUCUUCUCUUGGAACACAGAAAUAUUAUCCCCGUUGAGUACAGCCAACGUACGCUUUGCAAGAAGAAACUGUGAUUGCCCAAGUCUCUGGCUCUAUCUCCACAGCAGGAGAAACCAAAGGAAGGUGGCUGGGAAGCAACGUGGAGUCUCCCGAGAACAAAACCCGCAGACUGCACCACCACUGGCAAUGACAGCUAAAACCAAAAUACAGGUGUUGGGUCUUACAUUUUGGUUUUAUGUAAUGGGAAAAGAGGAGCUUGUGCCCUCUUACUCUAGGAGCAUUUCUGUUUUCAGGAGGUCUGGCCUUGAGCUCCUUCCUACUGUCCUGCCAGCAGCAGCAGCCCUUCAGCCAUCUGCAAUUCUCCUUGGCCUGCAGUCAGCAGUGGGGACUGCACCUCAUCUCAGCUGCCUUUCCCACAAAAGCUUGGACCAGGUGAUCUUUUGAGGUCCCUUCUGACCUGGGCUGUUCUGUGGUUCUGCAAAAGCAGGUUCACCAGCAAAAGGGAUGGAGAAAAGCAAGUACAGCCACAACAGCUGAUAAAAUCCCUUAUGGAAUUGGACUAAAAAUACAGUAGAAAACAAAAUCAACCAAACUGUUCAAGAGUAAGCAGGGUGGCUGCCACAGAUCAGGCUGGACAGUAUUUCCCAGGCCUUUCUGCCUCAGGAUGUGCCCCGCAGAGUUCAACUGUAUAAAACAGCUCGUCGCUCCCUACAGACUCAGGGCUAUGGCCAUCGUUUCCUCCACCUCCUUUCUCCCCCAUGUUUGUUUCACCAAAAGCAACUUAAACUUACCCAGGCUUUUUGUCUUGUAAUCAUUUGAAGUGCUCCCUCAGGCCCGUUUGCUGCGGGAGUUAAGGUAUUACUGAGAUCAAACAAUGUGAAAUCCUUAGAGCUGUGAAAAUACAGGAUUUCCUGCCUCAGAGCUACUAAACCCUACUCUUUAAUUCCACUAAGGAAGCACAGAGCUACGAUAAAACCACGUGCCCAGGGACUGGAACAAGGAACAGGCAUCUGUGUUGCGAGUGCAUUGUGUUGGGACAGUUGGAAGGUGCCCGAAAUGUUCACUGUGAACCACAACAGUAAAAAUCCUCCAGUGUGGCACUUAGCCUUAGAAAGGCCCAGGACUACAACACAACUGUUUGCACGCAACACGUCAGGUAAAAACACGUCUUGAACUUGCUGUGAGGCAAGAUUUUCCUACCUGCUAUAUAUAGAGCGCAACUUCCUUUUCAAAACCUACGACAAGAGGCGCUGGGGGUGCUCCGUGUGCGCUGCUGACGCUGCUCCUCACUCACACUUUCCUGGGUCACCCCACCAAGGUGGAAAGAAAAGGGGGGGCUGGUGGUAGAGGCUGGGUCCGAGGAGCCCCCCCCUGCCCUCCCGGGGCACUCCUACCCUGGGAACAGCCCGGCGCGGAAGGAGAAGCGUCGCUGCUGCCAACAAAGGGCAGGGCAGAAGGUGGAAAGAGGGAGCACCCGGAGAGUCGGCACUGCCUGAGGCUGGACUGGGGUCAGAGGGGAAGGAGCAGCAGAGCCUCGGUCCGGGAGCCUCAGUGGGGAGAGGCAGCACGGAUGUGGGGGGAGCACAAACAUCCUGCAGGGGAGAGCAGCGGAACGGGGCGAUGGCGGCUGGGGAAGGAGGAAGGAAGGGAAAUUCCCAGUAACAGGCCCGGGGCGGGGAAGGCUCUCAGCUGGGAGAGCAGGAGAGGGCUUGACAGGAUGUCACGGGAGAGGGGACCAACUAAAUUACCACCUACCGAAAAGGUCAGAGAGCAUGAGAACGUGGUGCUGAUCAGAUGGGGGCUGGUUACACACACACACACAGAUCUGAGCAACUUCCGUGAAGCUGGAAGAGUAGAAUACAGAGAUUUCAAAAUCAGAUUGUUGUAAGCCCCUACGCCUGACCUGUGCGAUGGGGACCAGUUCCACUGCCAGCAAUUCCAGCAAUCCAGUAACUUCUGCCUCAGCUAAACCAUAGACCCGGCCAUCCGCCCAUGCUGGAACACUUCAGGCUACAGCAGCUCCUCGUUAUUGUUUGCUAAUUACUUACUCUUCAUUAAUUACCUUUGCAGUUAUAGGAAAACUGCCACGGUCACUUACUGUGGGGCAGCGCAGUGGCUGGAGAUGACGGUGAGGAGCUGGGAAGGGGUGAGGGAAGGAGGGGGUGCGGAGAACAGGGCCCGUGGUUUCGAUGGCUUUGAGACGUGAGCUUUCAAAGGACAGAACAAAAGAGAGGAAGACUUUCAUGGAGAGCACAGAAGGUCAGGACAAGAGCUUGAUCUCAAGAGGAAGGUGGCAAAAGGUAAGGUAGGUACUUCAUCUCCUCCUUCUAGGAGUUGACAGUGUUCCUGCACUCAAACAGCUUCAGCUGACGUCACCCAAUGCUUUUAGCUCCAUUACAACAGCUGAGAUUCUAGACCAGAAAACCUUCCCGAGGUGCAAAACGCACCCGGGUGUUUCUGUGCAUCACAAACCCACCGCAUACACCCAUGAACACAACGCUGUAAAACUGCACCUGGUGUGACCACCCCACCACCUCACCACAGGUAAACUCCUCCAGACAAACCCAGUGGACAGUUACACUCUAUAGCGACUACAGAAAAAUCCUAUUUAUGUUAAAACUAACUCACCAAUUUAUCUUUGUGAUGGAAGCAGCGAAGAGUUCCUUACCCCAGCGACUGCGGCACGGCAGGCAACACCAGCUUCAGCCCAUCAGUUCAGCCUCUCCAAAAUGAGGUGUUUUGUCUUAAAAUCCUGUCAGUCUCUCAGGCUUUCCUUUGGGAGGGUUCUUGCUGCUUUGCCGGCCGCUUCACCCAGGGGUUUUAGCAGAUCAACAGCUCUGUCGGGCACUCAGGGAUUCAUCAGCAAAGGUGGCAGGAAAAAGGUCACAAAGGAAGAGCGUUAAUAUUCACUCCUGGAAAUACAAAUUGGCCUCUGCUCAGCGACUCCAUUUGCCACCUGAGAGGCAACAACUUCUUCAACCCCAGAGGCACAGACAGCACUGUCUGUGUCCCCCCGGCCCUGUCUGUGCUGUGGGGUGAUGGGGACAGCCCUGUGUGGGGCACAAGGGAGGGUGCCCGAGUUCAGAGGGUGGUGCUUCUGACAGGGCAGACACACCGAGGCCACACGUUCCCAUCCUAACCCAGGGGAAACCAAGCCUUUCCCCAUGGCCGGAGCGAGGGGGCAGAGCAGCCCAGGGCCCCCCAACCUCUCUAUGAGCAGGAACAAGCCAAGGGGGGGAACGCAGCCAUCUGCAGCCCCGAUGCAAAUUUCAGCAGCCUCAAACAGAUUUCACAAAUGUUAAAAGUAUCUCACACCAAAACUCAACUCAGGGGUAGGGGGAAAUAUUUAGACUUGAUUAAAAUUCACUCAUUUACAUAUCCUCAACUUAAAAAAAAAAAAACAUGGUAUGUACAACUUCAGUCCACUUGUCGUUACACAAACACACCGGGAGGGUCGUGCAUCUCGAGGCCCCGCUGGGUUCCGCCCCACGUGCAGGGGGAGACGCUGGAUGGGGCUGAGUCAGAGCCCGCUGCUCAGCACAGCGUCAGCCCCACGGAUUUCUCUGCAACUUGAGUAAAUGCCAAGCUUGCAAACCAACUAAAUAAAGAACUUCACUUCUGGAA